rnacentral:misc_RNA from 1 species
GAUGAAGAACGUAGCGAAUUGCGAUACUUGGUGUGAAUUGCAGAAUCCCGUGAACCAUCGAGUCUUUGAACGCAAGUUGCGCCUCAAGCCAUUAGGUUGAGGGCACGUCUGCCUGGGCGUCACAUAUCGUUGCCUGAUGCCAGUUUCCUCGUGAUGGGUGACUGUGCAGGGCGAAUGAUGGCUUCCCGUGAGCAUUGUUGCCUCAUGGUUGGUUGAAAAUUGAGUCCUUGGUAGGGAGCGCCGUGAUAGAUGGUGGUUGAGUGACGAACGAGACCCAAUCAUGUGAGACCCCUACCGAAUUUGGCCUUCAUGACCCACAUGCGUCUUUGGAACGCUCAUGACGAGACCUCAGGUCAGGCGGGGCUACCCGCUGAGUUUAAGCAUAUCAAUAAGCGGAGGA